GAGUUUGAUCAUGGCUCAGGAUGAACGCUAGCUACAGGCUUAACACAUGCAAGUCGCGGGGCAGCAUGAAGGAUGCUUGCAUUCUUUGAUGGCGACCGGCGCACGGGUGAGUAACGCGUAUCCAACCUGCCUGUUACCACGGCACAGCCCGUCGAAAGGCGGAUUAAUGCCGUAUGUGGUCCCUUGCGGGCAUCUAAUUAGGACUAAAGGUUCGGCGGUAACGGAUGGGGAUGCGUCCGAUUAGCUAGACGGCGGGUAACGCCCACCGUGGCGACGAUCGGUAGGGGUUCUGAGAGGAAGGUCCCCCCAACUGGAACUGAGACACGGUCCAGACUCCUACGGGAGCAGCAGUGAGGAAUAUUGGUCAAUGGGCUAAGCCUGAACCAGCCAAGUAGCGUGAGGGAA
rnacentral:rRNA from 1 species